CUGUUCUCAUCGCGGCCGCUCAUCCCUCCCACGUGUCCAACCCAGUGGGUCUGCGCUGCAGCACGCACCGCUUCAGCCCUGAGACUCUGGCCGGGUUCCAGGCGGUGUAGGCCCUGCUGGAAGGAGCCAGAGGAAUGCCUGCAAGGCUGAGCGCAUUCCGGGGCCGUGUGCAAAUGCUGAUGCAAUCACCGCAGCGUUCUGGGGGCAGCCAGGCGCUGUAACCCCCAGCCCAGCAGGAAGGUCGGUGAUGCAAGCUCGUUCAGGAGAAAGUCCCGGCUGCUGAGACGGACCUUGGGCUGUUGGAGCUGCAAGUGCCUGACUCACGCUUCUCAGCCCAUGCCAGCAUUUCAGAGGGAAGCGAUGCAGUCUCCCCCACUUCUUCCUCUGCUCGCCCCCUGAAGGCAAGCGUCCUUUCUCCGCCUUCCACUGACUACACAUAACUCUCUGGGAGAUCUCAGACACACCCCUCACUCAAACCCUCACCCUUGUGGAUCUCAAGCUGUUUCCAGCCUUGACCUCAUUCCUGAGCCCCUCGCCCACCGAGCCAUCCGGGAGCCCAGCAUCUUCGUCACCUCUCAGCAUCUCACACGUAUCCAGAAGGGGUCUGUUCUUCGGCCUUGGACCCGGCUCUCAGCUCCAGCUUAGUUCAUUUCUAGGUGUUCAAGCCUCCACACGCCCCCUCGUGGUGCAGCUUUUUGGCCUUUUUCAUUCCAACUCCAUCACUGUCAAUUCCGGUGCUCAAGUGUUGGCCAAGUGACUGGCCCCGUUUUCCUUUGCUUCCCACUCCUCCAAGCAAUGCAUUCUUCACACUGCCAGAAGGAUGUGGGAUACUGCCUCCACCAGGUGGUCAUUCCCUUAUGAACAAGUGCAAAGCACAAAAAGACAGACAUUGGCAAGUGUGGGCGAGGAUACAGGGCAGCCCAAGCCUUGGUGCAGAUCCUGGUGGGUGUGUGGAAAGGCAAACAACUCUGGAAAACUGGUUGCAUCCAUUAAAGAGGGAAAUACAUAAUCAUGGCCUAACGAGACUGCUGCAAGAUUCAAACCCAGCAAAUACACAGCCACUAGAGCAGCACUCUCAACUUGUGGGUCACGACCCCUUUUUUGGGGGGGUGUCAAAUGACCAUUUCACCAGGGUCACCUAAGACCGUUGGAAAGCACAGAUAGUCAUUAUAAUUCAUAACAGUAGCAAUAAAAAUAAUAUGGUUGGGGGUCAUGA